UUAUUAAUAUGUUUUUUGCUCCACGCGAGAAACAUGCAUACGUGCGCGGAAUAUAUUGAGCGCGGUUCCUUAUUCUCGACGUUUUCGGCAAGUUUUAGCUUGCGGGUCGUUAUCCACGCGUGUAGGGCGUCCUUGCGUUGGAAAAGCGGUCGGGUACCGAAAGGGGUCGAGACCGCGGUAAACCUCUAGUUGGUGCGGUAGAGAGGGAGGGGUGGAGACCGUGGUAAACACGACACGUGUACGUUGUUGAGCGGGAGAGUAAGUGGUACGGUGCAGUAUUCGUUAUUAGGAAGCGUUGUCAAAGAGUGCUCGAUCGUGUUUGUGGUGGAGCCGGGAGGCGGGAGCAUAAUGGACGAAGGCGGGGGAAACAUGUCGCAUGCGAUCAUACCAGCACUAAAGCACCGGAUCCCAUCAGAACUCCAAAGUUAAGCGUGCUUGGGCGAGAGUAGUGCUUGGGCGAGAGUAGUACUAGGAUGGGUGACCUCCUGGGAAGUCCUCGUGUUGCAUUCCC
rnacentral:rRNA from 1 species